ACGGCUCAGUAACACGUAGUCAACAUGCCCAGGGGACGUGGAUAACCUCGGGAAACUGAGGAUAAACCACGAUAAGUCACUACUUCUGGAAUGGGUAAUGACUCAAAUCUACAUGGCCCCUGGAUUGGACUGCGGCCGAUCAGGCUGUUGGUGAGGUAAUGGCCCACCAAACCUGUAACCGGUACGGGCUCUGAGAGGAGGAGCCCGGAGAUGGGCACUGAGACAAGGGCCCAGGCCCUAUGGGGCGCAGCAGGCGCGAAACCUCUGCAAUAGGCGAAAGCCUGACAGGGUUACUCUGAGUGAUUUCCGUUAAGGAGAUCUUUUGGCACCUCUAAAAAUGGUGCAGAAUAAGGGGUGGGCAAGUCUGGUGUCAGCCGCCGCGGUAAUACCAGCACCCCGAGUGGUCGGGACGUUUAUUGGGCCUAAAGCAUCCGUAGCCGGUUCUACAAGUCUUCCGUUAAAUCCACCUGCUUAACAGAUGGGCUGCGGAAGAUACUAUAGAGCUAGGAGGCGGGAGAGGCAAGCGGUACUCGAUGGGUAGGGGUAAAAUCCGUUGAUCCAUUGAAGACCACCAGUGGCGAAGGCGGCUUGCCAGAACGCGCUCGACGGUGAGGGAUGAAAGCUGGGGGAGCAAACCGGAUUAGAUACCCGGGUAGUCCCAGCUGUAAACGAUGCAGACUCGGUGAUGAGUUGGCUUUAUGCCAACUCAGUGCCGCAGGGAAGCCGUUAAGUUUGCCGCCUGGGGAGUACGGUCGCAAGACUGAAACUUAAAGGAAUUGGCGGGGGAGCACCACAAGGGGUGAAGCCUGCGGUUCAAUUGGAGUCAACGCCGG
rnacentral:rRNA from 1 species